GUGUCCUACGGGAGGCAGCAGUGGGGAAUAUUGGGCAAUGGGCGCAAGCCUGACCCAGCAACGCCGCGUGAAGGAAGAAGGCUUUCGGGUUGUAAACUUCUUUUAUCAGGGACGAAGGAUGUGACGGUACCUGAUGAAUAAGCUCCGGCUAACUACGUGCCAGCAGCCGCGGUAAUACGUAGGGAGCAAGCGUUAUCCGGAUUUACUGGGUGUAAAGGGCGCGUAGGCGGGAUGGCAAGUCAGAUGUGAAAUCCGGGGGCUCAACCCCUGAACUGCAUUUGAAACUGUCGUUCUUGAGUACUGGG
rnacentral:rRNA from 1 species